CUACGGGAGGCUCCAGUGGGGAAUAUUGCGCAAUGGGGGAAACCCUGACGCAGCGACGCCGUGUGAGUGAUGAAGGUUUUCGGAUCGUAAAGCUCUGUCGGGUGGAAAGAAUAAAGGCUGUGUAAAUAAUGCAGUCUGAUGACGGUACCACCAAAGGAAGCACCGGCUAACUCCGUGCCAGCAGCCGCGGUAAUACGGAGGGUGCAAGGGUGUUCGGAAUUAUUGGGCGUAAAGGGCGGGUAGGCGGGUAUGCAGGUCAGAUGUGAAAUCCCCCGGCUCAACCGGGGAAGUGCAUUUGAAACCGCAUAUCUUGAGUACGAGAGAGGCAGAUGGAAUUCCCAGUGUAGAGGUGAAAUUCAUAGAUAUUGGGAAGAACACCGGUGGCGAAAGCGGUCUGCUGGCUCGAUACUGACGCUGAGACGCGAAAGCGUGGGGAGCAAACAGGAUUAGAUACCCUCGUAGUC
rnacentral:rRNA from 1 species